rnacentral:rRNA from 1 species
AGUGGCGGAACUGGCAGACGCACUGUUCCCAUUCCGAACACAGAAGUUAAGCUCUCUAGCGCUGAUGGUACUUGGUGGGAAACUGCCUGGGAGAGUAGGACGUAGCCACGUU